rnacentral:sRNA from 1 species
AAGAGAGUCAACCAAGGCAAAAGAUCAAUUUCUCUCUCUUCUCUCUCUACGAUUAUUCAGAGAGAGGAAACAUGAUCUUUGUUUCUCCAUCCAGUUUGUUUACUGGUUUUGUCUCUGGUAUGGUCCAGCUUUGUCUACGGCGAGGCGAUUCGUUUUUGCCUAAACACAAUUCUCUCCAACAUAAGAUUGAUGAAUAUGAUGCUUGAGUUCCUGAACCGUUGACGUUUAAUCGGGAAGAUUUUGAAGUUGAAUUUUCAUGAAGUUGAAGAUUUGUUUUUAGAGCUUUGGAAUUGACAAUUGCUAUCACCGGAUUCAACAUGCAUAUCGCGGUGUUCUGGGUUUCUAUGGAGUCAACAAUCUUCUUCGGCGGCGACCAGUGAUUCUCCGAUCUUCUUCUUCUCACGUGUCUUCAGCACCUAACCUUCUCAUGACACGUGUUUUAGGUUCUGUUUCAAUGAUUCUUCUUUCUUCCUGAUGCGGUUUCCUACUUGGGCUUCAUAGUUGGGUUUGAAAAGUCUUACACUUAUGUUUAGUUGAAUUUGGCUCUGUUGUUUGUCUCAAAUUUUGGCUUAUGUUGAUAUAAUAAAGGGAAAUUCACAUUUAUAA